rnacentral:rRNA from 1 species
GAUGAACGCUGGCGGCGUGCCUAAUACAUGCAAGUCGAGCGAACGGACGAGAAGCUUGCUUCUCUGAUGUUAGCGGCGGACGGGUGAGUAACACGUGGAUAACCUACCUAUAAGACUGGGAUAACUUCGGGAAACCGGAGCUAAUACCGGAUAAUAUUUUGAACCGCAUGGUUCAAAAGUGAAAGACGGUCUUGCUGUCACUUAUAGAUGGACCAGCGCUGCAUUAGCUAGUUGGUAAGGUAACGGCUUACCAAGGCAACGAUGCAUAGCCGACCUGAGAGGGUGAUCGGCCACACUGGAACUGAGACACGGUCCAGACUCCUACGGGAGGCAGCAGUAGGGAAUCUUCCGCAAUGGGCGAAAGCCUGACGGAGCAACGCCGCGUGAGUGAUGAAGGUCUUCGGAUCGUAAAACUCUGUUAUUAGGGAAGAACAUAUGUGUAAGUAACUGUGCACAUCUUGAUGGUACCUAAUCAGAAAGCCACGGCUAACUACGUGCCAGCAGCCGCGGUAAUACGUAGGUGGCAAGCGUUAUCCGGAAUUAUUGGGCGUAAAGCGCGCGUAGGCGGUUUUUUAAGUCUGAUGUGAAAGCCCACGGCUCAACCGUGGAGGGUCAUUGGAAACUGGAAAACUUGAGUGCAGAAGAGGAAAGUGGAAUUCCAUGUGUAGCGGUGAAAUGCGCAGAGAUAUGGAGGAACACCAGUGGCGAAGGCGACUUUCUGGUCUGUAACUGACGCUGAUGUGCGAAAGCGUGGGGAUCAAACAGGAUUAGAUACCCUGGUAGUCCACGCCGUAAACGAUGAGUGCUAAGUGUUAGGGGGUUUCCGCCCCUUAGUGCUGCAGCUAACGCAUUAAGCACUCCGCCUGGGGAGUACGACCGCAAGGUUGAAACUCAAAGGAAUUGACGGGGACCCGCACAAGCGGUGGAGCAUGUGGUUUAAUUCGAAGCAACGCGAAGAACCUUACCAAAUCUUGACAUCCUUUGACAACUCUAGAGAUAGAGCUUUCCCCUUCGGGGGACAAAGUGACAGGUGGUGCAUGGUUGUCGUCAGCUCGUGUCGUGAGAUGUUGGGUUAAGUCCCGCAACGAGCGCAACCCUUAAGCUUAGUUGCCAUCAUUAAGUUGGGCACUCUAAGUUGACUGCCGGUGACAAACCGGAGGAAGGUGGGGAUGACGUCAAAUCAUCAUGCCCCUUAUGAUUUGGGCUACACACGUGCUACAAUGGACAAUACAAAGGGCAGCGAAACCGCGAGGUCAAGCAAAUCCCAUAAAGUUGUUCUCAGUUCGGAUUGUAGUCUGCAACUCGACUACAUGAAGCUGGAAUCGCUAGUAAUCGUAGAUCAGCAUGCUACGGUGAAUACGUUCCCGGGUCU